ACGUAUCUACAUUUUUAGUUUGCAAAUACAAAAAUAUACCAAUAACCCCUACUUUUCAAUAACGUUGCAACAAAGUCAUGUACGACAAUGGUUCUGUCAGGCUUACAGCCCUCCGCCGAGAUGCGAUGCCUUUUUCCCCAACGCUUCGCAUUGGGCUGAAUGAUCUCGCCCUUUCAGGGCUGUUUUUCAAUGGUUAAUGGUUAUUUUCCAAAUACAUGGUUCGGCGUGUUCCACGCAUAACAAUUAACCAUUGACUAUUGUCCGAAAGGGCUGAAAAGCCCUAGUUAUUUCAGCCCCAUCCCGCGCAAGGGUGGGAUACCGAUAUCCAGACCUUGUUCGGAGGGCUGAAGGCCUGAAUUAAAUUCAUUCUUAUUUCUUCUAUUGUGGAAUCCGGGAUAAAUACAAUAGCUAUCUCAUUGUUCAGUUUUAGAAUUAGAAAAAGAAGUUUUAGGGAUUUCUCUAUCAUAUGUAUUGCCUUGCUAUAACAUCCCUUUUCAUUUGAACCUUGCUAAAUAAUGCCUUAUUCUGCUAUUAUAACCUCACACCGCAUAAGCUUCCGCCUUUGUUUGAAUAUGUUUUCCAUUAGGGAGAAAUUCUCCAUAACUCUUCUGAUAGUUCGACAAUCAUUAAAAUGGAAUCAAUAGCAACCAUGUCAGUCGGACGCAAAACAUCGGAAUCGAAGUUAAGUGUCAUACCGGUAAAUUUUAAUUUUACU
rnacentral:sRNA from 1 species